CACGCCUGGAUUGGAAAAUAAUUUUUAAUAAUGAUCCAGUUACCACACACAGUUAUCACAAUUUAUGUCCUAUUAUUUUCCACUUGACUCGGGAUUUGUUAUUCUCUUGUGCUAUGUCACGCAUAUACAAGGUCACACUUCUAAUGACAUAGGAGGCAAGCGCUAUGGUCAACAGGUCGAUAGCCUAUUAACGAGACAUGUCACGCAUAGUAUGUCACACAACUUACCUCUAAUGACGUACGAGUCAAGAGCUACGUUCAUUAAGUCAAUAGCUUCGUCACGCGUCUCACCAUAUGUGGCAAGCUGAAAUAGCAAUAACCAGAUAAUCAGGGGUGCAUUCAAGCAUUUGCCCAAGAAAGCCCCAAAUCUCCCAAAAUUAGACCCGAAAAUUGGCGUGAGUACCAAAGGCAGCGGUUUCUUCAGGGCCACUAGUUUGUAGGUGUAUCACAAUUUUAAGUGUUACCCUCUUAAAAAAAGCUACAACUUUUAUCUCUGAGCGCUCACCGACCUCGAGGGAAACUGAACCCCAUGAACACCUUCUGUGUAUAUUAUUAUACCAGCAGUACUUUUAUGUACAAAAUACACACAGCAGGUGCGUACAUAGGGGGGUGUGCAGGGUGCGCGCACAUACCCCUCAGCCAAUCCUGGGUGUGUGCCUGUACAGCUAGAUUAGGGGGUUAGGGGGCUAGAUUAAAGUCCCCAAGAAAGAGAGUGUUUAAAAAUCCAAGAUGUCCUGACAGAUUAAAAUAACUUGAAUCCUCUGUCUUGAGAAGCAAAAAAAAGCAACAUUAUCUACAAUAUUUGAGCUACGACGUCCAUAAUCUAUUAGUGAAUACGGCACAGCCUCAACUGAAAUUUAGAUUAUCUUAUAUAAAAAGAGUGUAUUGUGGCUCAAAGAGCCCUUUUGAGUCAUGGUCUUUUUACCUCAGCGUACACACGGCUCUCAAUAGCCCAACCCUUCAGUGGAAUAUCUUCUUGUUUCAUAGGAAGAGGAUACCCUGCAAGACGAGACAUAAUAUUAGAAACACUGUUCAAGAGGCAGCCAUAAGUCGUACCUUCAUGUAUCAAUCUAACUUGUACCCUGGGUACCAGAGGGUUGAUCUUCACUCGUUUACUGUCACGCCGGUCUUGGCUACGCUUCGCUCCCUGUAGCCAAGACCGACGUGACAGUAAAUGAGUGAAGCUUGAGCCUCUGGUACCCAGGGUAUCUUACUUGUUGCAUGAUUCAAGAAAAGAUCGCCACCCCUACCCCUAUUUAAAAUGAGAAUUGGAAAUUCUAAGGUUGGCAACAGGGAAAAUCUUUUAGUACCAAUUUCUAGGGAGUAAAAAAUAUCCAUUAACACUGUACAUGUAUCUACCCUGUUUUCCUGGGCAACUCUGAUCAUCUCUUCUAUGGUAUAUAUAGUUUUAUAUAAGCUCACCAAUCGCAACUCUGAUUAUCUGUUCAACAAUAUCUACACUUUAUUGCCAGCUCACCUGCAGCAACUCUGAUCAUCUGUUCCACGAUAUCUACACCUGUUGUCAUCUCGGUUAUCGGGUGUUCCACCUGCAGACGUGUGUUCAUUUCCAGGAAAUAGAAGUUCUUCUGCGAGUCCACGAGACAUUCCACUGUGCCGGCAGAAUCAUAACCAACCGCCUUUGCGAGGGAGACAGCUUGCUCACCCAUUGCACGACGCAUGUCAGGAUCGACAAAUGGGCUAAAGGGCAAAAAUGACAAUCACUUUCAAUUUCUGUUAGUAAACAAACCUUUUAAAACAGCAUUACACUGAAACCUGGAUUUUACAAUACCCUCACCGGGAUUCAUCUUUACUGAAAUUAUUACCCUUGCAUAGCGUUCCUUUCUCCCGGCGAAAAAUACAGUGAAAUGUAUAUAAGAAAUUACCUCGAUCUAACGAAAUUGGAUACAACAAUAUUCUCAAUUUUACAGUACAAAUCUAUUCUCUCAAGUGUAAUUUUGACCUCAAUCCAACGAAAUUGAUUCUGUCUAUCAACAAAGAGAGAAAAACACAAGACACCACACACAUACAAUACAGAUUACAGUCUUACAGGGAGUAACUGUACAAGUGGACAACUUUUUAAAAUAUAAAAACCUGGAAUUUUCAAUAUCAGGCUGAAAUGGUUCUUAUAAAUCUGAGUACCUUUUGGAAAAUAAUGACUGUUUAGAUUCUUAUUUUUUCAUAUACUCCGAACAAUAACAGUCAAUGUGACAAUAAAAAAAUUAAUGUUGAACACAACAUAUCAGCCCAUGUAUCUUUUUUCAUUGUUUAUCAAACAAAAAUCAGAAUUUUGACAAAACGUCUAAUUGACCUUUCACAGUAGAACCUAUUCUUCCUUAGCAGCAGGAUUAUACAAAGGGUGCCAAAUUUCAGUCUGUAGUGUAUGAGUUUUUAUACGCUGGUGUUUACUGUAUACCAAACUCUCACCUCGGUGCUUCCUCAAUGACUUUUUGGUUUCUUCUCUGGAUAGAGCAUUCCCUUUCAUUAAGAUAAACCUAAAUAACAUUGAUAUUCAAUAACAUAAGACAACAAAUAUUUAAUAGACAACUUUGACUUAAUCGUCAAACUCAGGGUGACACGAAAUAUGACUACAACAAAUAUGGAAAUAUCACACUGAGGCUUUCACAGAAGGACCAAGGCCUUGAUAAAACAAUUGCAAUCUCGUUAUGCCUUCUGGGGCAAUAUGGGAAUGUCAUGAUCGCAAAUUUGCAGCAUGCAGUAUGUGUACAGUUGUUGACAUAUAAUAAUAAUUCACUUUUUAAAAACUUUUUAAAAAGGAUUGCAAGAGCAUUCAGUACUUACAGCGUUACCAUGCUUGUCACCAAUGACCUGUAAAAAAACAGAACACUUUUUUUUUCUAAAUUGUAUACCAUGACAUGAUGAAUCUAUAGGAACCAUAAGUCAAGACAAUUCACAUUUAUGCAAUAAAACGUCAUCAUUAAACAGCACUACUUGGC